rnacentral:misc_RNA from 1 species
GAAAUGCGAUAAGUAGUGUGAAUUGCAGAAUUCAGUGAAUCAUCGAAUCUUUGAACGCACAUUGCGCCCCUCGGUAUUCCGUGGGGCAUGCCUGUUCGAGCGUCAUUACACCAAUCAAGCCUGGCUUGGUAUUGGGCGACGGGGUCGGUCGAACCACCCCCCGCCCCAAAGACCUUUCCGGCGGGACGGACCGAAUCUCAGCGUUGUGCAAACGUGUCGCUGGCGAGACGGGACGGCCGUGCCGUUAAACCCCAUUUUCUUCAAGGUUGACCUCGGAUCAGGUAGGGAUACCCGCUGAACUUAAGC